rnacentral:rRNA from 1 species
UCCAGACUCCUACGGGAGGCAGCAGUGAGGAAUAUUGGUCAAUGGGCGGAAGCCUGAACCAGCCAUGCCGCGUGAAGGCGAGUGCCCUACGGGCGUUAAACUUCUUUUGUGCGGGAGCAAUAAGGGCCACGUGUGACCCGAUGAGAGUACCGCACGAAUAAGCAUCGGCUAACUCCGUGCCAGCAGCCGCGGUAAUACGGGGGAUGCGAGCGUUAUCCGGAUUUAUUGGGUUUAAAGGGUGCGUAGGCGGCGCUUCAGGUCAGCGGUGAAAUACCGGGGCUCAACCCCGGGGCUGCCGUUGAAACCGGAGCGCUAGAAUUCCGAUGCCGUCGGAGGAAUGUGUGGUGUAGCGGUGAAAUGCAUAGAUAUCACGCAGAACCCCGAUUGCGAAGGCAGCAUGCCGGCUUCCGACUGACGCUGAAGCACGAAAGCGUGGGGAUCGAACAGGAUUAGAUACCCGCGUAG